GGGUUAGAACAUGCUCCUUUAGCUGGAAGGAGUUUGUUAUUACCCCCCUUCGAAGCCUACUUCUGUCAAUUUGUGAAACUCAUUCUCCAUCCAGUUUUGUUCCCUUGCUGGUGAGGAACUGUGAUCCUUUGGAGGAGAAGAGGCAUUCGGUUUUUGGAAUUUUCCACUUUUUGUGCUGGAUUUUCCCUCAUCUUUGUGGAUUUAUCUACCUUUGGUCUUUGAUGUUGGUGACCUUCUGAUGGUGUUUUUGUGUGGGCGUCGUUCUGUGGAUGUUGAUGCUAUUGCUUUCUGCUUGUUAGUUUUCCUUCUAACAUUCAGGUCCCUCUGCUGCAGGUCUACUGGAGUUUGCUGGAGGUCUACUCCAGACCCUGUUUGCCCAGGUAUCACCAGCAGAGGCUGCAGAACAGGAAAGUUUGCUGCCUGCCCUCUCCUCUGGAAGCUUCAUCCCAGAGGGGCACCCGCCAGACACCAGAUACAGAGGGUUUCCACUAUGCUG
rnacentral:lncRNA from 10 species